rnacentral:rRNA from 1 species
GACGAACGCUGGCGGCGUGCUUAGCACAUGCAAGUCGAACGGAAAGGCCCUGCUUUUGUGGGGUGCUCGAUUGGCGAACGGGUGAGUAACACGUGAGUAACCUGCCCUUGACUUUGGGAUAACUUCAGGAAACUGGGGCUAAUACCGGAUAGGAGCUCCUGCUGCAUGGUGUGGGUUGGAAAGUUUCGGCGGUUGGGGAUGGACUCGCGGCUUAUCAGCUUGUUGGUGGGGUAGUGGCUUACCAAGGCUUUGACGGGUAGCCGGCCUGAGAGGGUGACCGGCCACAUUGGGCCUGAGAUAGGGACCAGACGCGUACGGGCGGCAGCAGGGGGAAGUAUUGCACAAUGGGCGGACGCCUGAUGCAGCAACGCCGCGUGCGGGAUGACGGCCUUCGGGUUGUAAACCGAUUUCGCAUGUGACGAAGAGUGAGUGACGGUAAUGGGUAAAGAAGCAACGGCUAACUACGUG